rnacentral:rRNA from 1 species
CCUACGGGAGGCAGCAGUGGGGAAUAUUGCACAAUGGUGGAAACCCUGAUGCAGCGACGCCGCGUGAACGAUGAAGUAUUUCGGUAUGUAAAGCUCUAUCAGCAGGGGAGAAGAUGACGGUACCUGACUAAGAAGCCCCGGCUAACUACGUGCCAGCCGCCGCGGUAAUACGUAGGGGGCAGGCGUUAUCCGGAUUUACUGGGUGUAAUGGGAGCGUAGACGGCGAUGCAAGCCAGAUGUGAAAGCCCGGGGCUCAACCCCGGGACUGCAGUGGGAACUGUGUGGAUGGAGUGUCGGAGAGGCAGGCGGAAUUCCUAGUGUAGCGGUGAAAUGCGUAGAUAUUAGGAGGAACACCAGUGGCGAAGGCGGCCUGCUGGACGAUGACUGACGUUGAGGCUCGAAGGCGUGGGGAGCAAACAGGAUUAGAUACCCCAGUAGUC